UACGGGGGGGGCAAGCGUUGUUCGGAAUUACUGGGCGUAAAGGGCUCGUAGGCGGCCAACUAAGUCAGACGUGAAAUCCCUCGGCUUAACCGGGGAACUGCGUCUGAUACUGGAUGGCUAGAGGUUGGGAGAGGGAUGCGGAAUUCCAGGUGUAGCGGUGAAAUGCGUAGAUAUCUGGAGGAACACCGGUGGCGAAGGCGGCAUCCUGGACCAAUUCUGACGCUGAGACGCGAAAGCGUGGGGAGCGAACAGG
rnacentral:rRNA from 1 species